UACGUAGGGUGCAAGCGUUGUCCGGAAUUAUUGGGCGUAAAGAGCUCGUAGGUGGCGGGUCACGUCGGGUGUGAAAGCCCGGGGCUUAACCCCGGGUCUGCAUUCGAUACGGGUCUGCUGGGGUCCGGCAGGGGAGACUGGAAUUCCUGGUGUAGCGGUGAAAUGCGCAGAUAUCAGGAGGAACACCGGUGGCGAAGGCGGGUCUCUGGGCCGGUACCGACGCUGAGGAGCGAAAGCGUGGGGAGCGAACGGG
rnacentral:rRNA from 1 species